GCCCGGCUAGCUCAGUCGGUAGAGCAUAAGACUUUUAAUCUCAGGCUCGUGGGUUCUAGCUCACGUUGGGCG